UGAGCUGCUUUCUUCAAGGCAGAUGUGAGUGCGUGCCACAUGGCGGCCAUAACUCCGAGUAUUGCUGCGGCAGGAUGCCUCUCUGGUUGCUGGGGGAGGCUUGCAGGUGAGCAGGACCCAGCGCUUGCUGCAACGACAUGCAUCCUGCUGUCCCUUCUUUGCUGGCUGCCCGCCUGGCGGCUAGAUUUCAAGGAAGUCCGAGGUAAGGAUAGAUCCAACGAGCGCCCUUUUCCUCCUGCUAUCCUGCUUGGGCAUCCUGGAGCACAUAGAUCCACUGUAGAACCCUUCGAUCGCUAAAAUAAAAAGUUAGAUUAGUACUAGCGCCCCUUACGUACCUGAUACUAUGAAGCGAUAUGUAGGUUGCGUUAUGCAUCUGCAAAUUAUGGGCAUCUGUCCUUGGCUUGCAGCUCGCAAGCUCUCCAUCGCCAAGAAACUGUUUGGUGUACCAAUUUGAGAAAACAGCGGUGUACGAGAGCCUGCAAGGCCUGUCUACUACCACAAAGUUCAAUCAGUUGGAAAGCAAAUACGCAGGGCAGUCAAAGU
rnacentral:lncRNA from 1 species